rnacentral:rRNA from 1 species
CAACGUUGAUAGGUGGGGUGUGUAAGCGUAGCGAUACGUUGAGCUAACCCAUACUAAUUACCCGUGAGGCUUAACCAUACAACACCCAAGAAGUGUU